rnacentral:rRNA from 1 species
GUCGAACAGGAUGUGCUUGCACAUCGCUGACGAGUGGCGUGAGUAAUGCUUGACUUGCCUUUGCGAGGGGGAUAACAGUUGGAAACGACUGCGCAUAAUGUCUUCGGACCAAAGGGCUUGCUCCGGAAGAGAGGCCCAAGUGAUAGCUAGUUGGUAAGGUAACGGCUUACCAAGGCGACGAUCUCUAGCUGUUCUGAGAGGAAGAUCAGCCAGACACGGCCCAGACUCCUACGGGAGGACAUGCAACAGCAGAAUAUUGCACAAUGGGGGAAACCCUGAUGCAGCCAUGCCGCGUGUGUGAAGAAGGCCUUCGGGUUGUAAAGCACUUUGUAGUUAAUACCUGCUAGCCGUGACGUUGAAGAAGCACCGGCUAACUCCGUGCCAGCAGCCGCGGUAAUACGGAGGGUGCGAGCGUUAAUCAAUUACUGGGCGUAAAGCGCACGCAGGCGGUUUGUUAAGCUAGAUGUGAAAGCCCCGGGCUCACUCAUUUGGCAGACUAGAGUCUUGGAGAGGGGAGUGGAAUUCCUAGCGGUGAAAUGCGUAGAUAUCUGGAGGAACAUCAGUGGCGAAGCGACUCCGACUGACGCUCAUGUGCGAAAGUGUGCGAACAGGAU